rnacentral:lncRNA from 1 species
AUCUCCUUAAUUUCGGACAAUUCUAAGACAUCACACUGAGCUUGGAUGAGCCUAGUUGAACAAUUGAUGAUGAAAAAUCCGCUAUAGGGUAGAAGACUUAACCGGAAACACGUGGGCGAUCCUCCUUGAGGAUGCAGUGCCAUGAGUCACCUUCAAAGGAAGGGACCAAAAUCGGCACAAUAUGCCAUGUUUCUAAGGACGAUGUAAGUGUACAUCUUGAUUGUAAAUCAAUAUGAACCAUAAGAGGAGAAUAGUUUCACUUCGAAAAAUUCUCAAGGCAUUCAUUAUUGCUAAUGUGAGUACAUCGAGGUCUCAAAUAGACAAAGGACGUCGAUACAACGCCUUAGUACAUAAAGCUUGGAACGAAAAUCAAUGUCUAGCCGAUGACAUUAAAGUCAUUCUAUAUACUAUAGCAGGAAGACAUUACAACUGUUCAUUCAGCUGCGGAAAUGAUGGUGUUGCCCCCGGUUUGCAGACAAUUGCAAAACUGCCACUCUUGCCUUACAAUUCCUGUUUCGCCCCUGUUUUCAAUGAAAUGUCUAUUUUGUCCCGAUUUGCAAUCUGCUUUGGCACCUGUUGAUUGCAAACCUUGCCAUCAUUUCAAAUUUGUCUUCUCUUGCACGACUGAGUUGUGUGACUUGAUCAAGAUCUAGGAUGAGGAGCCAUUAUCUUAUUCUUCUACAAAACUUGAUUCUGGGUUCUGCUUCGAUCAAGUCUUCCACAUCAAUACAUGUCCUCACCUCUCCCCCGAUCUAAAUUCUCUCUGUCUCCGACUCUCUCUCUCCGUCAACUCCUGAUCAGAAAUCGACGCCGGCGCCGCCUAUGCCGGUGUUAAAGGACGUCGUCGGGCUUGCGUGUCUAAGCCAAUUAAGCUGAGUUUGCUUUCGGCUCUGGGUUGCCUUUUCUGUAUCUCUGCUUGCUCACUUCUCUGUUUCUGAUCUGGGUUUUUGGGGCUAACCGGUGUUUCCUGUGGUGUUGUUGUGUAUCGGGUAAGUGUGGUUGGUUUGAUGUUUGAUCUG